GUAGUGGACACUGUAAAGUUUCUGCUCGAAUUUCCUCAGACGUCCAAACGUCGGCAGUAUUCGUUACUACUAGCGAUGAGUUAAGAGGAGCUAAACACACAUACAUAGUGCAAAUUCAUAUGGGUCACACAGCAGAUAAAGGAAUUUCUGAGGAAUUUAAUGAAACGAGUGGUUCGGUAAAGGUUUUCGUUGGUAUGGACUGAGGAUCUGGUGAGCCUGAUCAUUGCAAUGAAAGAAGAAAUAAAGAAAGAAAAACUCUCAUUAUAAUGCUCUUAAAAUUUUAAAAUAAUUUGUCCUCACGUACCCAAAUUGGUGAUAUAUGAAAAUAUGACGAUGAGUGAGCCAAACCACGCGAUGAUUAUGAGCUGAUACAGCCGCAUUCUUAUUGACAUUAUUAUGUUUUCAACAUUAUAUGUCUCAAGGAAACGACUCUUGAAUUUUUACAGUGAAAGUUCGUUCAUCUAACCGAGAAUAAAAAGCUGACAACCAGCCUAAAGAUUCAUGAAGUUGGAACAUUAAUACAAGACAUUUCACUCUGUCAUAACAACAAUCCUCAAAAUUAAAUCUUUUCAAAUACGUAAUAAUAGCAAAGUUGAGUUUUUAAUCAAGAAACGUCACCUUUCGGAGAAAUUCGAGGUAAAUACGUCCAUUAUAAAAUUGUAACUUUGUAUUUUGUAUUUGAAAGCAUGUUCUAUAUAGUUUGUUGACUUGUAGUUUGUAAACAGCAUUAAUUAUUUCUUGUUGUUAAAUACAUUUGCAUAUCAAAUGUUAA